AAACCCCUAUUGCUAUUACAUAAAUUAACAGUAACAUUUAACUGAACAGACCAUUUAACACAAACACAUAAACUAAAUUUCAAGGUAACUUUUAGUUAAUAGAAAUGUUAAGUCUUUAAAAACACCAGCACCAAUGUUAAAUCCGACACAUUCUCUGUUAAGUGCGCGUACUGUUAAUGUUUACUAACAUUUAUUAUUCUCCUAGUACAACUCUAAUAUAAAGUUAAGCGCAUGUGUUGUUGCUAGAUUUAUUAUUGUUUUGUUUUAAUAUUAUUGUUGUUGUUGUUUAUUUUAUGCAUUUGCCAAUUCUCUAGUUCUCAUGGUGAAAUGUUAAAUAAGAAAAACAAAGAAAAGCAUAGAAAAUAAAAAAAAAACAAAUUAAAUUGAUGCGCUUUUUUUUGUGUUCGCUGUUGGUCGGUCGGCUUUUUUUCGUUCAGUUGAAAGAAGUAAUAGAGAAAGCAAUAAAGAAUCAACAGCAUUUUUAUUACUAUUUCGUGUGUUUAGUACGUCGGGGAAUUAUAAUUGUGUUGAGUGUGUUUUGUUAAGUGGAAUUUCUAUAAAAAUAAUUAAUGUAAAAUAAAGAAAUUAAUUUAAAUGUAUAUAUUUCAUAUAAUUGUUAAAGAUUUGCUAAGAAUAUAGAUUGAAACGAUGAAAAGCUAAACAAAAAAGCAAAAUAUUUACACUUUCUUGUGACGACGCUAAUUAUGCAAGUGGAAACCAAUUGAAUACAAUAAAUAAAUAAACAUAACAAAUAAUUUAAUUAAAAAAACGUGAAAAAUUCAACAACACCAAUAAUAAAUAAAUAAAAAAAGAAAAAUAACAGCAAAAUAGAUUAAAAAAACAAGUAUUUAGUGCAUAAAGCAAAAUAAACAACAAAAACGCCAAAAGUCGUUGAACUAAAAAAAAAUUACACACGUAACAACAAAUUCUCAUAACGGUGCUUGUAGUAAAAACAGAAACUCAAAAACUUUAUAAUUAACAAGAAAAAACAAAGUGCAAUAUAGUGUAAUAAGUACAUAUAGGUAUAGUUUUUUAAUAAAAAAAGUUAAAAUUAAAUUUUAACAAAUAGGUCCGUCUGGUUUUUUGUGAUUAUUUUUUAUUCAUAUUUGUGGACCCCAGACAUUAACAUACGUUUGUCAAACUUUAUUCCUCUAACGCGCGCUCUCCCUCUCUUGCUGUGUGUUUCUUUUGCAGCAGAAUAGUAUCUCUCUAUUUUUUGUAACAUUUUACUUGUUAUUGGUCUACCAUUGCCCUUAGAUUACAGCCAAAAAACAUAUCCAACCAAAUUAUUGCAUAGAGAUGCCAAAUUUCUAACAAGAAAAGUAAUUUAUACAACAAAUAAUACAUAUACAACAACAUAUUUUUCUACAACAAUAGAAAUUAUUAAAAUAUUUUGAGAAAAAAAGAAACAACAAAGUUUAACAAAUUUUUAGUGAAUGUGCGUGUGUGUGGUUUUAUUGUUUACAUUAAAUUUCCAUAACAGACUGAGACUGCAUUAGUGUGCCUAUAAAACUUUACAAAAACUGAUUUGCAAAAACAAAAAGAGUGAAAUUCCUAUUCUAAAAAAAAAUUAACACCAACCCAUCAAUAAACUACUUUAUGCUAAAUUAAAACUAGCAACAACAAUAAAGAAUCUUCCAUAUACAAAACAGAAAAGCAUCCCAAUUAUCUUAUCUCUAUUUAUAAAACAUUAUAAAAAAACUAUUCAAAGAAAACAACAAAAAAUCAACUAACUAAUUUGUUUAUAUUCAUGUUUACUGUUAUCUUAACGUAAAAAACAAAAAACAGCAACUAGAAAAAAACCAAAACAAAUAACAAAAAAAUAACAACAAAUACCGACCACUUCAAACACAAUUUACAGAAAUUCAUAACAAAAACAACGCCCGUUAUUUUGCCGUCUGUUCUUCUUAUAGCAAAAUCAUAACAGAGCAAAGAAUCAAUAAUAAAAACAAACAACGUCUAUCGUUCGUGUUCUCUUAAAUCGUUUUAUUCGCAAUAAAAAGUCUCUCUUAAACGCCACAAAAAAAGUAAAAACAAUUGCCGGUUAACUUUUGACAUUUGCUUUUAAACGCGUUCGCGUAUAUUUGUUCGUGUGUGUGUUUAUAAAUAAUAAAAAAAUAAAGUGUUUAAUUUCUUGUUUCGCCCCCGCGUUCAAUUAUCGUGUACCGUGAGUGUAAGUGAGAGUGAGUGUGUGUAUUAUUGCCAUAUCUAUAGAAAAUAAUUAGAAAAAAUAGUGUGAAAGUGUUUAAAUUCUCAUUCAUCCCCAUCACUUGUUUUGUUAAGCGGUUAAUUGGUUUAACUUUUCUAAUCGUCUACUGAUUUAAUCAUCAGUGAUGCAUCAGCCGCGUUACAGUCCAGCUCAAACUUUACCUCAAGUACCUCCUCAUGGAGGUAUGAGGCCACCUUUACAACAACCAACACGUCCUCCAACAUUUGCCAAUGUAAGU
rnacentral:lncRNA from 1 species